AUUGAACGCUGGCGGCAGGCCUAACACAUGCAAGUCGAACGGUAACAGGAAGCAGCUUGCUGCUUCGCUGACGAGUGGCGGACGGGUGAGUAAUGUCUGGGAAACUGCCUGAUGGAGGGGGAUAACUACUGGAAACGGUAGCUAAUACCGCAUAACGUCGCAAGACCAAAGAGGGGGACCUUAGGGCCUCUUGCCAUCGGAUGUGCCCAGAUGGGAUUAGCUAGUAGGUGGGGUAACGGCUCACCUAGGCGACGAUCCCUAGCUGGUCUGAGAGGAUGACCAGCCACACUAGAACUGAAACACGGUCCAGACUCCUACGGGAGGCAGCAGUGGGGAAUAUUGCACAAUGGGCGCAAGCCUGAUGCAGCCAUGCCGCGUGUAUGAAGAAGGCCUUCGGGUUGUAAAGUACUUUCAGCGGGGAGGAAGGGAGUAAAGUUAAUACCUUUGCUCAUUGACGUUACCCGCAGAAGAAGCACCGGCUAACUCCGUG
rnacentral:rRNA from 1 species